UCGACUGCCGGAAUUUUGCAUUCCUCUUCGACUUCAUCUGCAUGCACGUUCCAUCUCACACUUGAUAAAGAAAAGUUCUGCUUAAGUAAGAAUCGUUACACUUAUACGAAUCAGCCGCCAAAUCCUCGGAUGCUUUUAAAUUAAGUAAAAAUGUGCCUAAGAAGCCGUCUCUCCU